rnacentral:rRNA from 1 species
UACAGAGGGUGCAAGCGUUGUCCGGAAUCACUGGGCGUAAAGGGCGCGUAGGCGGCCUGAUAAGUCGGGGGUGAAACGCUGCGGCUUAACCGCAGCACUGCCUUCGAGACUGUCAGGCUUGAGCACGGUAGAGGCUGGUGGAAUUCCCGGUGUAGCGGUGGAAUGCGUAGAGAUCGGGAAGAACAUCGGUGGCGAAGGCGGCCAGCUGGGCCGUUGCUGACGCUGAGGCGCGACAGCGUGGGGAGCAAACAGG